AUAACAAGCGGCUGAACGUCAUUUUAGCACUGACAGCUGCCUCGGUGCUGGAUUUAAUGCCGCCUGCCUGAGAGUGACUGUAGACUGCGAUGGAUUUCAAAGCCUGGAAGGCCUGAUUCAUAGAGCGCCGAAAACUCGAACAAACUAGGUCCACUUCUUCACUGGAAGCUGAGAGUAACUGCUUCAUCAGCUUCCACAAGCAGUAAGGCAAAGACGGGAGGAUCAAGACACUCAACUCAAAUGAAAACCAUUACAUCAAUGAAAUAUGCCAAUAAAAUGUUGAAAAACAUUUUAAAAUUGUUUUUAGCUUUCAAAGGAGUUUCAUUGUUAACUAUUAUUGCUACUGGAGGCUAUUUAGACUAUAACCUGAGUUGUUAAAUAAAUGCUUUUACAAUAAU